CCCUGUGGUUAGAAGACACCUUUAUAUUGGAAAACUUUAUUUCUGAAAUAUUUCAAGGGGAGGAGGGAGAGGAAGCAAAAACAAAUUCCAGAGAACAAUGAGAGAUGAGGUUUAAAGACCUCAGCAUCACUACCAAUAACCCCAACCAAAAAUUAAAAAAAAAACUAUUUUCCUUCCAGAUCAGAAUUGUUGAAUUUCUUGCACUUCAAGAGGCUGUAACUUGUCAGUUUACCUCUUCCAUUUAAAUAUUUCAAGGGCUGAUGUAUAUACACAGUCAACCUACUGCCUUGUACAUUACUUUCUCCAAAUGCUUUUUAGCAUCUUUGCUAUGUUCUGUGCAUUAAAUUCAAAAAGAAAAAAAGAAACAUUUACUGUAUGCUUUUAGCAUAAUUGUACCAUUGUCCAUUUAAAAUACCUCAUAGGUUAUGUAAGUAUUUAUUCAUAUAAUAUAUUAUACAGGAAGGAUGUAGAUCUCCAACCAAUUGCAUGGUAGGCUCCUACAGGGGAAAUUCCCUUUCUCAAUGCAUAUGGACUACCGCUAUGACUUAGAAAAUGAAUGUCUGAGGCUCAUAGAGAUCUAAUAGUGUGUCCAGGGUCACAAAGUUGUUGGAGAGGGAAUUUCAACCCAUGUCUUCCUGAUCCCAAUCUAGCACUCUACUCCUCAUGCCACAUUUCCUUUCUAACUAUUCCAUAAAAUGGUGCUUGGCUUUGAGAAAUACUUUGCCAGAGGAUCUGUUUCUCUGCAUACUUACCGUUUAAGCCAUGUGUAUAUGUCUAUACCCACACACACGCAGUGAACUAGAGAAUUGAGUCAAACAUUGAGAUAACUCAUUGCUUUUUUUUUCAUUACAUGGAUAAGUCAGGUUAAGUGCCCCUUUGAUCUGAAAGAUCCUAUUGGAUAGUUAGACAAUGCACGGUUGUAGGAAGGAUAGUAAGUGGAGGUGGAUGUUUAGUAAAGAGACCCCUUAGUAAGCAGGCAGCCAUUUGCUGACUGGGUUAGUUCCUGAGCCUUUCUAGACCUUAAUUUUUCUCAUCUGUAGAAGAAGUUGAACCAGAUGUUGUUGAAGAUCCUUUCCAUCAUCAAUUAGUAUAAUUCUUUGACUCUGCCAUUUUGCAUUAGAAGCAUAAGAUCUAUGGGGGGCAAUGCAGGAAGUGCUGGCUCUGCAGUAGGAUUCAAGUACCUGGAUUCAAAUCUUACCUCCUACACACAUAUGUGUAUAUGUAUAUCAUGAGGUUACAUAAUACAUAUAUGCGCAUAGGUGUAUAAACACACAAACUAGUGUGUAUACACACAUACAAACAAGCCACUGCAACUCUCUGGGCUUUAGGAAAAUAAGAACGUUAGAGGAGUUCGAAGAUAUCAAACUCAAAACCUUCAAAAGUCUCUAGUGCAGUCAUUAUCAGAUUAAAAUGUAACUGGGAAAUGUUUAAUAAAAAUAAAUAAUACAGUGCAACAUAGAUGAUAUUAAUGUGUGGUUCUCUAAGCAUCAGGGAUUUAUUUGCAUGUGAUUUGCUGCCAUUGGACUAGAAGAUCCUCUAAGGUCUUUUCUAGUUCUAAAUCUAUGACCUUACAACUACCUUAGUAAAAUUUUUAAGCAUAAUUGCCGCCAAAAAAGGCUAAAAAAAAAUGAGAUUAAAAAAGGAUUAUUAAACAGGCAUAUCAAUGGGAUAAAUGUUCUGCUUUCCAUUAUAGUAGCUUGACCGUUAUGGAAAAUAAAAUCCUCACAAAAGCAGUUUUUCCUUUUUCUGAUUCUACACACAAAUGGAAGAGGGGCUGUAUAUGCCCUAAAAUUUGAAAAAAAAAGGGGGGGGAAGAGUUUUAGUUUCCUCUUGCCUUGCUAUCUAACAUGAUGAUCAAAUUACUCUCAAAUCUUUUCUUAAAUUUGUAGGAAAAUCAGACUUCUGAUUUCUAGGAAAUGUUCCUGUUUCCCUCCCUUUCUUUUUCUCAUUCUUAUGCCUUAGUUGUAGGACAACCAUGCUAAACCAGGCUUGGUGUUGAAUACUUAUGAACCUUAUGGACCCUGAUAUUAGGGCAAUUAAAGUUGGUCCAUCACUUGAGUUCAAGAGUUCUCAACUUUCCACACUACACCCACCACCAACAUGGUAAGCCCUAGAAAAUGGAAGGGGCAUCAGGUCUCUUGAGGAGAGACAAAAAAACCAGGUCUAAACCAGAUUUCAACAUUGGAAUCACCUCAUUAGUGGUCAUGAUAAGCUCCUGUACUUCCAUCCUUGGUGAGAAAUACUAUCUUUGGGGGAAAAUAACAUGAAAAAGAUUGGUUUUAAUUUUUAGGUAUUCAUUUGUUGGUUUUGUUGGUUUAAUUUCUAAGUAUUUGUAGAUCAAUAAUCUAGCAAACAUUUGUUAAGCCUUAUGUACCAGGCACUGUACUAAGCCCUGGGAGUACAAAAACACACUUAGGAACUGACCUUAAGGAGCUUACAUUCUAAUGGGAUGACUGUCCUCUCACUGGAAAAGUUAGGAGUUCACUUCCUUUUUCUUCUAUAUUAGCUCUCAAUUCAGUGUAUACAUCUGCUACAGGGUAUAUGAUUUUAUUGCAUAUGACCCUGCAAGUGAAGGUGGAAGUUUCAGAGAGCGAGAUGUAUGGAUAAUUAGAGUUAUCCAAAAGUGUGAUGAGUUUUUGGAAUGAUAAACUCAUAGAGGAGAGGAAUUGUUUCAUUUUCAAGGAUUUGUAUAUCAAGGUAGCAAGGUAGUAGAGUGGAUAGAAUUCUGAACCUGGAGUCAGUAGACUCAUCUUCAAAUCCAGCCUCAGAUACUUGAUGGUUGUUUGACAUGGGCAAGUUGCAUACUUCUAUUUACCUCAGUUUCCCCAAAUGAGCUGGAAAGGGAAAUGGCAAACUACUCCAGUAUCUUUGCUAAGAAAACCCCAUAUGGGGUCGUGAAAAGUCAGACAUGAAUGAAAUAACUAAACAACAAAAUAACAGCACAUUGCUGGUAACACAGUAGGUACUUAACAAAUGCUUCUUAAUUGAAUGAAUGACUGACAAUCUUUGGAAGUCAGGAAGAUUGAUAGGAUAAUAGAUCAAGAGCUGGAAGAGAGCGCAUUGACCAUCUAGUUCACUCCCUCAUUUUAUACAUGAAGAAAGUAUAGAAUGGAUGUGGAAUCUAAACUCCUAUUGGGAAUGGACUACUUCAUUUUUGUCUUUGUAUCCCAUGAUCUAGCACAGUACCUUGUAGACACUAAGCAUUCAAAAAAAGCUUUUUUAUAAAUUGAAUAGUAGAUUUUCUCUCAUUGGACAGUACCUUGUUGGUGACGCUGUAGAAUUUAAGUUUCUCAAGGGAGAGGACUAUAUAAUUUUGGAGUUUGUAUCCACAGUACCAAGGUCAGUGUCUGUCAAACAUUAGGUGCUUAAUCAAUGUGUCAAAUAACAAUAAAAUGGAACAGAUGAGAUUCUUUUUCAAGGAUGGAUUUCAUUAUAAGGAGGCAUCAUGGCAUAGUGGUAAGAACAUGGGAAUUAAAAUCAGAAACUGUAGAUUCUAAUCUGGUCUCUGUUCCUUAUUUAUCACCUUUAGUAUCUUGGAUAAAUCAUUGUAAUUUCUAAUUUUUAGUUUACUUGUCUAUACAAUAAGGGACUUAGAUUAAAUGAUUUCUAAGGCCUCUUUUAGCUCUUCUUUUAGGGACUCUGCAGUUAACUUAUCAGUGGCCCAAAAUGUGAAUGUGUUUGGGUCUUUAUUAAACAAAACAUGAUACAGAGAAAGAAGGGCAUAUAUCUCUGUCCUCUGACCUGGUCAACUAUAUCUACAGUACUUGGGUCACUUCUGGGCUCAAUGCUCCCAUAAUUUAUGAAAGACAUUCAUAGCUGGGGAGCAUCCAGAGGAUGCCACUCAGAAUCUUGAGUUUCUAUCAAAUAAGUAACAAAAGAAGGGAUGGGGGUGAAAAAACCUUUAAGAAAGAAGAAAAGAAGAUUGGGAUGGGAAAGUCAUGACAGUUGUUUUCAAAUAUGCAAUGGGCUCUCAUAUGGAUAAGGGUUUGAACCUGUUCUACUUGGGCCAAGAAGGCAGACUCAGGAGGAUGUGGGAAAAUUAUAAAGCAGCAAAUUUACUGUUGGGGUCAGGAAAAAUUUCCUAACAAUGGGAACCAUCCCAAAGUGAAAUGUGCAAUCUUCACCCUUUCAAUUUCUCCACUGGAUGUCUUCAAAUGGAAGGAGGAUGAACACUUUAGAAUAUGCUAUAGUGGGGAUCCCUUUCCAGUCUGGAUUGGCUUACACGUGACUGUUGAGAUCCUUUCCAAAUUUGAGAUUUUGUGAUUUGAGAAUUCUGUGAAGUUUUUUGUUUGUUUGUUUCUUCCCCCAUCCACUCAUCUAACCUGAGAGUCUAUGAAUUUAGGAGCCUAGUAUCUAGUGAUGUGAAGUCAUGUGAAGGGAAAUCUAAACUUUUAUUCUCAAAGAAGAAGAAAUUAUUUCCAAUUUUUUCUGGUCUAAUGACUUUCUCUAGCCAGUUCUAUAUAAUUCCACAAUCACCAGAAUAUUUCAACUCAUAAAAGCUCAUGAUAUUUUUUUCUUCCUCUACAUUACCUAAAUAAUUUUUUAGAUAAAUAAGGACACUGUGGACAGAACAGGAUUUUGUUUUCUUUUGCCUGGUGCCUUUAAUAAUCUGCAAGUAGAGCAGAUCAAACUAGUCAUAUCUUGUAUAUGACUGAUAUAUAAAGUAUAUCAAAGAUAUACACUAUUUAAAAACCAAUUGACCAUCAGCAGACUAGACAGUCUCUUGGUCUCUUACUUAAAUAUUACCUUGGGUGAGAUGUGAUGGUACACAUCUGUAAUACCAGCUGCCUAGGAGUUAAAGCUGAGGCUAGGAAGCUUCUUGAAUAUGGGGAUGCUGAAUCGCAAUGGCUAAGCCAUUUCAGCAUUAUUAAUAAGUUUGGCAUUAUUGGGAUGAAGCACCAAGAACAGGGAGCUGCAAGGUUGCUAAGAAGGUGCAAAGCAGCCCAGAUCAGAAAAAGAGGAGGUCAAAACUUCUGUGCUGACUACUCAUAAAGGGUCCAAACCCACGAGUCAUACCUAUAUAUCUAGCAU
rnacentral:lncRNA from 1 species